GAAGGGUUCUGUCAUUAAGCAGACAGAGGCUGACCCGUCCUGUCGCUCACCAUCUCACUUGCAUGCAGUUUUUUUUUUCUUUUUUCUUUUUCACUCUGUCUGUUUAUGUGUCUUCGCAGGACGUCACACUUAUAGGAGGAGGACGGGGCAGGAAGUGGCUGAAGGUUCUCUCUCUACUGGACUCAUUAAGGCCAAACGCUGCGAGUAUCUAAACAGAGCAGAUGGCUGGAAAUUCAAUAAGCCGCCUGAAACCCCUUUGAGGCAAAGAUGCUUCAUCGUAUCAUGGUCCUGGUGCAGAGCCGCCGAAAUGUGA
ensembl:lncRNA